rnacentral:rRNA from 1 species
CAGCCGCCGCGGUAAAACAGAGGGUGCAAGCGUUAAUCGGAUUUACUGGGCGUAAGGCGUGCGUAGGCGGUUUGUUAAGUCUGCUGUGAAAUCCCCGGGCUCAACCUGGGAAUGGCAGUGGAUACUGGCAAGCUAGAGUGUGUCAGAGGAUGGUGGAAUUCCCGGUGUAGCGGUGAAAUGCGUAGAGAUCGGGGGGAACAUCAGUGGCGAAGGCGGCCAUCUGGGCCAAUACUGACGCUCAUACACGAAGCGUGGGGAGCAAACAGGAUUAGAUACCCGUGUAGUCCCUGUCUCUUAUACA